rnacentral:rRNA from 1 species
UACGUAGGUGGCAAGCGUUGUCCGGAUUUAUUGGGCGUAAAGGGCGCGCAGGCGGUUCGUUAAGUUCGAGGUGAAAUCUCCUGGCUCAACCGGGAGGGGUCUUCGGAUACUGGCGGACUUGAGGAGAGCAGAGGUGAGUGGAAUUCUGGGUGUAGUGGUGAAAUGCGUAGAUAUCCAGAGGAACACCAGUGGCGAAGGCGACUCACUGGGCUCCACCUGACGCUGAGGCGCGAAAGCGUGGGGAGCGAACCGG